AAAAAGGCCAUUUUUGGGACACCAGGGUGUGGAAAUAAAACCCACCCACCCCAUUUUGGGGGAGACGGAGGACGUAGCGGUGAAUCCCCCAGGGCUGGGGGGGGUGGGGGGGUCCCGGGCGGGCGAGGGCCCCCAGGGUGCCAGCGGGUGCUGCCUCCCGCCCUCGCCGCCGGUGACGGCCCGUUUUUGGGGUGAAAGGCGGGGAUUUUGGCGCAGGUGCGGGCGGCUGCUGCUGCCCCCGGGGCUGGCUGGGCUUCGGGGGCCGCUGUUACCUCUUCUCGGAGGAGGAGGGCAACUGGAGCCGGGGUCUGGGGAGCUGCCGCGCUCUGGGGGGGUCCCUCACCUCCCUCGACACCCCAGAAGAGAAGGGGCUGCUGGCGCGUCACAAGGGUCUCCCCCACCAUUGGGUCGGGCUCCGGAGGGACCUGCAGCAAGGGUGGCACUGGGCCAACGGCUCCCGCUCCCAGCCCUGGUUCGCGGUGCGCGGCGCGGCCGACUGCGCCUACCUCGGGGACGGCGACGUGCAGACGGCCAGCUGCGCCUCCGAGAAGCACUGGAUCUGCGCCCGCCCGCCCGCCUGAGCACCCGUGGGUGCCCCCCACCCCCACCCAUGGGUGCCCCUCACACACACACCCCCUCCCCCAAAUAAAGGCGUUAGAGCAGGAGGGCGUCGCGG